GAGGGGCAGCAUGGUCUUAGCUUGCUAAGGCUGAUGGCGACCGGCGCACGGGUGAGUAACACGUAUCCAACCUGCCGUCUACUCUUGGCCAGCCUUCUGAAAGGAAGAUUAAUCCAGGAUGGCAUCAUGAGUUCACAUGUCCGCAUGAUUAAAGGUAUUUUCCGGUAGACGAUGGGGAUGCGUCCAUUAGAUAGUAGGCGGGGUAACGGCCCACCUAGUCAACGAUGGAUAGGGGUUCUGAGAGGAAGGUCCCCCACAUUGGAACUGAGACGCGGUCCAAACUCCUACGGGAGGCAGCAGUGAGGAAUAUUGGUCAAUGGGCGAUGGCCUGAACCAGCCAAGUAGCGUGAAGGAUGACUGCCCUAUGGGUUGUAAACUUCUUUUAUAAAGGAAUAAAGUCGGGUAUGCAUACCCGUUUGCAUGUACUUUAUGAAUAAGGAUCGGCUAACUCCGUGCCAGCAGCCGCGGUAAUACGGAGGAUCCGAGCGUUAUCCGGAUUUAUUGGGUUUAAAGGGAGCGUAGAUGGAUGUUUAAGUCAGUUGUGAAAGUUUGCGGCUCAACCGUAAAAUUGCAGUUGAUACUGGAUGUCUUGAGUGCAGUUGAGGCAGGCGGAAUUCGUGGUGUAGCGGUGAAAUGCUUAGAUAUCACGAAGAACUCCGAUUGCGAAGGCAGCCUGCUAAGCUGCAACUGACAUUGAGGCUCGAAAGUGUGGGUAU
rnacentral:rRNA from 1 species